UCACUUUAAGAUCUUCCUGAAUCCGCUGU
rnacentral:sRNA from 1 species